rnacentral:misc_RNA from 1 species
GAUGAAGAACGUAGCGAAAUACGAUAAGUAAUGCGAAUUGCAGAAUUCAGUGAGUCAUCGAAUCUUUGAACGCACAUUGCGCCCUGUGGUAUUCCGCAGGGCAUGCCUGUUCGAGCGUCAUUUCAACCCUCAAGCUCUGCUUGGUGUUGGGCCCUGCCCGCUGCGGCCGGCCCUAAAGACAGUGGCGGUGCCGCCUGGCCCUGAGCGUAGUACAUCUCUCGCUCCAGUGCCCGGUGGUAGCCUGCCAGAACCCCAACUCUCGUGGUUGACCUCGGAUCAGGUAGGGAUACCCGCUGAACUUAAGCAUAUCAAUAAGCGGAGGA